rnacentral:rRNA from 1 species
UGGAUCCAGACUUUGAUCAUGGCUCAGGAUGAACGCUAGCUACAGGCUUAACACAUGCAAGUCGAGGGGCAGCAUGGUCUUAGCUUGCUAAGGCCGAUGGCGACCGGCGCACGGGUGAGUAACACGUAUCCAACCUGCCGUCUACUCUUGGACAGCCUUCUGAAAGGAAGAUUAAUACAAGAUGGCAUCAUGAGUCCGCAUGUUCACAUGAUUAAAGGUAUUCCGGUAGACGAUGGGGAUGCGUUCCAUUAGAUAGUAGGCGGGGUAACGGCCCACCUAGUCUUCGAUGGAUAGGGGUUCUGAGAGGAAGGUCCCCCACAUUGGAACUGAGACACGGUCCAAACUCCUACGGGAGGCAGCAGUGAGGAAUAUUGGUCAAUGGGCGAGAGCCUGAACCAGCCAAGUAGCGUGAAGGAUGACUGCCCUAUGGGUUGUAAACUUCUUUUAUAAAGGAAUAAAGUCGGGUAUGCAUACCCGUUUGCAUGUACUUUAUGAAUAAGGAUCGGCUAACUCCGUGCCAGCAGCCGCGGUAAUACGGAGGAUCCGAGCGUUAUCCGGAUUUAUUGGGUUUAAAGGGAGCGUAGAUGGAUGUUUAAGUCAGUUGUGAAAGUUUGCGGCUCAACCGUAAAAUUGCAGUUGAUACUGGAUAUCUUGAGUGCAGUUGAGGCAGGCGGAAUUCGUGGUGUAGCGGUGAAAUGCUUAGAUAUCACGAAGAACUCCGAUUGCGAAGGCAGCCUGCUAAGCUGCAACUGACAUUGAGGCUCGAAAGUGUGGGUAUCAAACAGGAUUAGAUACCCUGGUAGUCCACACGGUAAACGAUGAAUACUCGCUGUUUGCGAUAUACUGCAAGCGGCCAAGCGAAAGCGUUAAGUAUUCCACCUGGGGAGUACGCCGGCAACGGUGCAACUCAAAGGAAUUGACGGA